UAGAGUUUGAUCCUGGCUCAGGAUGAACGCUGGCGGUAUGCUUAACACAUGCAAGUCGAACGGAAGUCUUCGGACUUUAGUGGCGGACGGGUGAGUAACGCGUGAGAACCUACCCUUAGGACGGGGAUAACAGCUGGAAACGGCUGCUAAUACCCGAUGUGCCGAGAGGUGAAAGAUUUAUUGCCUGAGGAAGGGCUCGCGUCCGAUUAGCUAGUUGGAGUGGUAAUGGCACCCCAAGGCGACGAUCGGUAGCUGGUCUGAGAGGAUGAUCAGCCACACUGGGACUGAGACACGGCCCAGACUCCUACGGGAGGCAGCAGUGGGGAAUUUUCCGCAAUGGGCGCAAGCCUGACGGAGCAAUACCGCGUGCGGGAGGACGGCCUUUGGGUUGUAAACCGCUUUUCUCAGGGAAGAAGUUCUGACGGUACCUGAGGAAUCAGCAUCGGCUAACUCCGUGCCAGCAGCCGCGGUAAUACGGGGGAUGCAAGCGUUAUCCGGAAUUAUUGGGCGUAAAGCGUCCGCAGGUGGUUUGUCAAGUCUGCUGUUAAAGCGUGGAGCUUAACUCCAUAUCGGCGGUGGAAACUGAUGAACUAGAGGGUGGUAGGGGUCACGGGAAUUCCCAGUGUAGCGGUGAAAUGCGUAGAUAUUGGGAAGAACACCAGCGGCGAAAGCGCGUGACUGGGCCAUUACUGACACUCAUGGACGAAAGCUAGGGGAGCGAAAGGGAUUAGAUACCCCUGUAGUCCUAGCCGUAAACGAUGGACACUNGUGUUGCCCGUAUCGACCCGGGCAGUGCCGUAGCUAACGCGUUAAGUGUCCCGCCUGGGG
rnacentral:rRNA from 1 species